UACAGAGGUGGCAAGCGUUGUUCGGAAUUACCGGGCGUAAAGGGCUUGUAGGUGGCCAACUAAGUCAGACGUGAAAUCCCUCGGCUUAACCGGGGAACUGCGUCUGAUACUGGAUGGCUGGAGUGUGGGAGAGGGAUGCGGAAUUCCAGGUGUAGCGGUGAAAUGCGUAGAUAUCUGGAGGAACACCGGUGGCGAAGGCGGCAUCCUGGACCAUUACUGACACUGAAAAGCGAAAGCCAGGGGAGCAAACGGG
rnacentral:rRNA from 1 species